AUGGUAUCUAUCACCAUCCUUUCCCUCAUUGUGACUCUUCACCCAGGUGUCCUCACUGAGGUGCAGCUGGUGCAGUCUGGGGCAGAGGUGAAAAGGCCUGGGGAGCCUCUGACAAUCUCCUGUAAGGCCUCUGGAUACAGCUUUACUGAUUACUGGAUAAGCUGUGUGGACCAAGAUCCAGGGAAGGGCCUGGAGUGGAUAGGAAGCAUUUAUCCUGAUGAUUCAGAUACACAAUACAGCCCAUCCUUCCAAGGACAAGUCACCAUCUCCACAGAAAACUCUGCCAGCACUGCCUACCUGAAGUGGACUGGCCUGAAGGAUUCAGACACAGCCAUGUAUUACUGUGCACCGUGUGAAGUUCAGCUGGUGGAGUUUGGAAGAUAUGAUCUGGAUGGAACAACAGCCCUACACUCUCCACACACCUGCAUGGUGGCCACUUUCUCCCUGACCACUUGGGUAGCAAACAAGCCUUCUCUGAAACCUGCAGAAUUAUUUCCACCUUCUGCAAAUAACAUGGUUGUGGCUAUAACAGCCACAAUCACCAGGGUGAAAGUCCCACUCUCUAUGAACACCGGGAUGGACCUGCCCUUCCCAAAACUGGGGCAGCCGCCCUUCUCUCCUGGCCCUAGGAUGUCUCUUCAUGUCUGA